rnacentral:sRNA from 1 species
CCUCCAACAAGUGCUUCGAUGUCCUUUAUCAACUCGAGUGCGGGAAUGGCGUAUCCGUCUCCGGCGUAGCUUGUGAACGGACACGCGAAUAAAUGGUACGUUAUGGGCCCCGAUAACAUGCCACGCGGACACCGUGCGACCAUUGAAAUUCACCGUAGAGUCGACAUAGCUUAAUGUUCCCUGUGUCAAACCUGUCGUUCUGCCACGUUUAAAGACUAUUGAUCCUUUUUCACAAGGUCCGCACUCCUCGAUCUUUCCCGAGUCCGGGAAGAGCAGCGUUGGAUGAAUAUAAGGGGGAAGAGCUGCCAGUUCCUCAGACGUAGGUAACUAAAGUUCGAAUUAAUACGCUUUCUGCCUUCAUUAUCGAAAUCAUUUUGCAACUAGGGAACGUAUAUCAUACCUUGUUCAGAAACGACCGAGAACUUGGGAGAGAGACCAGGGCCCAAUCCAUUCCAAAAUCAUUGCUGGAACGAAAACCAGAGCCUGCCCACACUGUUCCUGUGGCUCUAGUGAGGUUGUUGAGGGCUUGAGCUUCGAGGUUAACGGCAUCCAUGCCGGCUUGGAGCUUUGAGAGGGCCCUCUCCUGUUUUUAAUUCAAAUAUUCCGUCCUUUGUCGCUACUGAAGUUUUUCAACAUCUCUCCUAACCAUAUCCAGAGCAUUUUUCUACGAUUUCCCGUUUGAAAUUUGCGUCAAAGUUUGACGGAGAACAAGGCCCACGUUGAGACUUGCCGCAUGGUCUGGAGUCAACCCUGUCUCUUUGGUUUCUGCACAUUUGUGGUUAGAAAUUGCCGAUGUUUACGGUUGACUGUCUUGAGAGAGAGUCAAACCUUGAAGGCUCUGAUGUGAUGCGACAACAUGAAAGUUUGUAACUCCUAGCUCGUGAAUCUCAAUUCCGCGCCGAACGAUCAGCUUCACGCCAAAAGACGCUGUCGCUCUCGGCUCUGAGCUGAGUCCAAUGCUUGCCCCGGGAGAAAGGUCUGAGGUCACCGCGAAGUCUUGGCCCUCGUCAGGAGAUCGAAAUCCACCGGUCGCAAAAAUAGUGUCCACUUGCACAAAACAUACCUCAAUUCUGUCC